rnacentral:rRNA from 1 species
AAAGGAAUAGACGGGGGCCCGCACAAGCGGUGGAGCAUGUGGUUUAAUUCGAAGCAACGCGAAGAACCUUACCAGGUCUUGACAUACUCGUGCUAUCCUUAGAGAUAAGGAGUUCCUUCGGGACACGGGAUACAGGUGGUGCAUGGUUGUCGUCAGCUCGUGUCGUGAGAUGUUGGGUUAAGUCCCGCAACGAGCGCAACCCUUAUUACUAGUUGCCAUCAUUAAGUUGGGCACUCUAGUGAGACUGCCGGUGAUAAACCGGAGGAAGGUGGGGAUGACGUCAAAUCAUCAUGCCCCUUAUGACCUGGGCUACACACGUGCUACAAUGGAUGGUACAACGAGUCGCCAACCCGCGAGGGUGCGCUAAUCUCUUAAAACCAUUCUCAGUUCGGAUUGCAGGCUGCAACUCGCCUGCAUGAAGUCGGAAUCGCUAGUAAUCGCGGAUCAGCACGCCGCGGUGAAUACGUUCCCGGGCCUUGUACACACCGCCCGU